rnacentral:lncRNA from 1 species
ACAUCCUGUUUAUGUGAAAGCGUUUCUAUAAGUAGGCAAUAUUGAGUAGUUUAUUUAAACACAGCGAUUAGAAACAUUUUAAUUUACACGGAAUUUACUAAAAGGAAGCACCAUGAGGGGAUUUAUUUUACUUGCUGUUUUUGUAGCAUUGGCAAGUUUGAUUACAGUGGAUUCAGCUAAAUGUGGUUCGAAAGAGUACAACCUAAGAUUGUACACCUGUUGUAGAGGCAAACUAUUUUUCGGAAGGGGACAGUCCUGUUGUGGAACGAGAGCUUACAAUAACAAACUCUACACAUGUUGUGCGGACAAACUCACUUUUGGAAGCGGACAGUCAUGUUGUGGAAAAAAGGCUUAUAAUAACAAACUCUAUACAUGCUGUGUGGAUAAACUAACUUUUGGAAGCGGACAGUCAUGUUGCGGAACCAAAGCUUACAACCCCAGAAUCUAUUCUUGUUGUCGUGGAGUCGUUCGUUUUGGAAAAUGCUAAAUGACCUGUGUUUUGGAAGAUAAUUUUACAAAAUCAAUAUUUUGCAUUAAUUCACCAUUUUACGUUCGGUCAAAGCUGCUAUAAGCUUAUACUAUGCAUUCAACUAUAAAACGAAUAACCUCAUUCGAUUCUACAUAUUUUUCAUGAAUGUGAACCUUUCAUAUAUAUUCCAUGAUUUUUCAUUGACAUAAUCAGGUUUAAAAACAAUUAAAAUGGUUUAUUUCUGUGUAUUACGUUUAGGUAGAUUAGAUAUUUUCUACAGUGAAUGGAAUUCCUGAUUAAACAUUGAUGUAUUAAACUCUUUUAGUAUAAACUCGACCUUAUUCGACUAAUAAAAAAAGAGGUUGAUAUGUUUGAUGUUUUCUGGGCUGACUUUGAAAAGCAAGAAUGUUGCAUUAUAAAAAAUAAUAAUUUUAAUAACGUUUCCGUGCACAGACAAAGAUCUACAGGUCAGAUUUUUAACAGUUAUAGUCGUGCUUUUUUCUAUCAUGCUGUCAAAAAAAUUUUCUGUGUAUGUAUAUAUAAAGAGAAUCUCAUA